GUCCAAUCGCGAUCGCAAGUUUGCGGGCACUGCAGCGAACUAUUGAGAAUGAAAUUAUUUUCAAAUGGCGCACAGGUUUAUACCAAUGAUACCAUGAAGUUGAACGAUAAGGAGGAAGCAACAGCCUUCAAACGAUCUGUGUCUUUUGCGAAAUUGGAUAGAAGAUAAGCAUUAGCGGCAAAAUGUUAAUAAAAGAGUAUCGAAUACCGCUGCCUCUCACCGUGGAGGAAUAUAGAAUUGCUCAGCUUUAUAUGAUAGCGAAAAAAUCCCGAGAAGAAAGUCAAGGAGCAGGCAGCGGAGUAGAAAUUAUAGUAAACGAGCCUUAUAGUAAUGGUCCAGGUGGAAAUGGACAGUAUACCCACAAGAUUUAUCACGUGGGCAGUCAUCUUCCAGAAUGGUUCAAAAGUUUGCUGCCCAGAUCUGCGUUGAUUGCCAAGGAAGAAGCAUGGAACGCUUAUCCCUAUACCAAAACCCGUUACACUUGUCCUUUUGUUGAAAAGUUUUCUAUCGAAAUAGAAACGUACUAUUUUCCUGACAAUGGUUACCAAGAAAAUGUCUUCAAGCUCAGUGGUAGCGACUUAAGAAAUAGAAUUGUAGACUUAAUUGAUAUCGUGAAAGAUCAAUAUACGGGUGAUUAUGUAAAGGAGGAGGAUCCCAAAUUGUAUGUUUCCCAAAAAACUAGCCGAGGACCUCUCGUGGAUUCAUGGCUGGAGGAGUAUUGGAGUGACGUAAAAGGAAAGCAACAACCGACGCCAUCUGGGAAGUCGUUAAUGUGUGCGUAUAAGUUAUGCCGCGUCGAGUUCCGUUAUUGGGGUGUGCAAACAAAAUUAGAAAAGUUUAUACACGAUGUAGCCUUGCGGAAAACUAUGGUAAGAGCACAUAGGCAAGCCUGGGCUUGGCAAGAUGAGUGGAAUGGUUUGACCAUGGAAGACAUCCGGGAAAUUGAGCGCCAAACACAGCUGGCAUUGCAAAAGAGGAUGGCUAAUGCAGAAAGCGGUGAAGAACCCAUAGAUAAUGAUAACCAAGAGAAGGCUAUUUCUAAUGCAAGUAUGACUCCUCAAGAAUCGGACGUUGCCAUGACAUUGGCUGCAACGCUCGGAAGUAUUGAGAAAAAUGAAGAUCUCCAAAGUCCUCCAAGUGUUAGAAAAUCGACCGAUAUACCGAUGACAAAUACAGCUGUUAGUUCGGAAGGUGAAGUGAGCCCCGAGGACUCGCCGACUGAAGUACCCGAGCUUAGAAGUGCCCCCACGGAAGAGAAAGCAGAUACAAAGAAAGGAUGGAAGAAGAACAGGGCAGCGAUGAGUUCACCGUGUUCGAACAAAAGUUUCGACAUGCAGAUAGCGAAUUGGCGUAUGGAAAGUAUCGUGAGAGAAUCUGAAUCUGGUAGUGAGGAUGAAUUCUUUGAUUGUCAAGCUGGGUUCGUUAUACCUAUUAUAUGCGAAGCAGAAGAGGAGGACAAUACGUUCACUUCACCCACUAUGGCAAACAAAGAAGACGACACGAUAUUUUCACCUUCGUAUCUGCAACGAAUGGCUAGUGAACGUAGCAGUAAAAGGUUACAAAUCUCUGCUUCAGCCAGCAUAGAUGCAUCAUGUCCAGCUUCACCUCAACAUUCGCCAACGCAUCAACCGUGCAAGACUACUGUCCUUCUUAUUGUAAUGCAUGCUGGCAGUGUAUUAGACGCAAAUGUUGAUUUAACGGCUAAAAAAUCGGACAUAACAACAUUUAAAGGGGCCUUCGAAUCAGUUAUGAGACAACACUAUCCUAGUAUGGUUGGUCAUGUUGCCAUUAAGUUUGUUUCCUGCCCAUCUAUUUGCACUGAAGGACUUGGUAUUUUAUCGAGUUUAAGUCCGUAUAGUUUCGAUGUGUCACCUUCUUCUACGGACACCCCUCAAGUAACACAUGAUACUAUUCCAAUUGGUGCAAUACCUCUACUUGCUAGUUCCACUCCUGAAUAUCAGGAUGCCGUCUCUCGAGUUAUAGCUGGAGCUAAUCAAGUUUAUCAUGAUUUUAUCAAAAGCGAGGAAGGUCGUGGUUUCAUGGGACAGAUUUGUUUUAUCGGAGACUCUGUAGGAGCAAUUUUAACAUAUGACGCACUGUGUAAAUCAACUCAUUCUAGACAUAAUAGCGAAAACAAUAUUUUGGAUAAUCAGGGCAUUGAAAAUAGUAUGAACGCGGAAGAUGGCAAGCAUCUGACUGCACCUUCUCCUAGAAGGAAAUCUUCUAGUAUAAGUGAUAUUUCUCAUUGUAAAUUGGAUUUCGAAGUAGGAGAACUUUUCAUGUUUGGUAGUCCACUUGCUCUAGUAUUGGCAUAUAGAAAAAUCUCUUCAGAUAAAAGUAGUAAUAUAAGAAGACCAUUGGUGAAUCAGGUGUAUAAUUUAUUUCAUCCUACUGAUCCUGUAGCUGCUAGAUUAGAACCACUUAUUUCCGCAAGGUUCUCUCUACUUCCUCCUGUGAAUGUGGCUCGAUAUCUAAAGUAUCCACUAGGAAAUGGUCAGCCUUAUCAUUUAUUGGAAGCUCUCCAGACAAAUCCACAAUUAUUUACGGAUGGAUUAAACAUUCCAAAUAUGUCAAUGUCUCACGUGAGGAGACUAUCCGAUAUAUCGAUUCAAAGUACAAUGUCCGGUAUGGUUGAAAAUGUUCCUUUACAAAUAGUAUCUAAUUUGACGCAAAAAUGGUGGGGUAAUAAGAGAUUAGAUUAUGCUCUCUAUUGUCCAGAAGGUUUAGCAAAUUUCCCCACAAACGCUUUACCUCACCUUUUUCACGCUAGCUAUUGGGAAUCUUCUGACGUUAUCGCAUUUAUCCUACGACAAUUAGGCAGAUUUGACUCGCCAUUACUCACAAAUGAGGAGAAAGAUUUAAGUUGUUUCCGUCCAGGUCAACCUAGAGAAAAGUGGAAUAAGAAACGUACUUCCGUUAAGCUUAAAAAUGUCGCUGCCAAUCAUAGAGCAAAUGACGUAAUUGUUAGAGAAGGAGCACCGCAAGUGCUGAUUGCUAGAUUUAUGUAUAGUCCAAUUGACGUUAUCGCUUUAACGGGUGAAAAAGUGGAUAUUCAUAUUAUGAAAGAUGCUCCAGCAGGAGAAUGGACUUACUUAUCAACUGAAAUAACUGAUAAGAAUGGUAGAAUAACAUACAAAAUACCCGAUGAUAAAGCAUUGGGAUAUGGACUUUAUCCAAUCAAGAUGAUUGUGAGAGGUGAUCAUACAUCAGUAGACUUUUUCUUGGCUGUGAUUCCACCGAAAACAGAGUGCGUGGUAUUUAGUAUAGAUGGAUCAUUUACAGCGAGUAUGUCUGUAAGCGGAAAGGAUCCAAAAGUUAGAGCUGGAGCUGUCGACAUUGUCAGGCACUGGCAAGAAUUGGGAUACUUAAUCAUUUAUAUUACCGCAAGACCUGAUAUGCAACAGCAGAAAGUUGUUUCCUGGCUGUCUCAACACAAUUUUCCCCAUGGCCUUGUGUCUUUUGCGGACGGUCUCUCGACAGAUCCACUUGCUCAUAAAGCUGCGUACUUAAAUAAACUUGUAGAGGAACACGGUGUAAUAAUUCAUCAUGCAUAUGGCAGUAGUAAAGAUAUUAGUGUUUACACUACGAUUAAUCUUAAGCCAAAUCAAAUUUUCAUUAUUGGAAAAGUGCCAAAGAAGCACCACCCUUUGGCAACAAUCCUUCAUGAUGGCUAUGCUGCUCAUUUAAGUAUGCUACAGGCGCGCGGAGGCUCGAGACCAGCUCAGGGUAAUGCACGUAUGGUGAUCCCAAGAGGUCAGUUCGGUUUACCCGGACAAAACGCUUCUCUACGGCGAAGAAGAUGUUUUGGUUGCUGCAGAAUGGUGGAAAUGUGCAUAUGCAAUAAAUGUUGUCCCUUAGAAAGAAGAUAUGCAGAAUGGGCGUAAGGCAUUUCGGAGAAUAAUAAGAAUUCUAUUGUCUGUACAUAGAUAAUGCUGUAUUUUUAUAGCUCUACAUACUGUGAUCAGUAUGAAAUUUUAAGCAAAGGUAGUUGUUUCAGAGGCGAUCAAUGACGCGUGCGAUCAUCGUAUUCGAAUCGCACUCAUCAAUGUUUACUAAAACCCCAAUUUAUAUCGAGAGAUUUCUCUGUAAAACAAUCAUAACUACGAAAACAAGGUACCUGUUAUGAAGAUAUGUUACGCGGCGUAGUCAAUAUCGUGCUCUCGGCAAGAGCCGCCACCAUUCUACGCUCAAACUUAAUGUUUUAUCUAUCAGCCAUACACAUGUCCAGAAUUUGUGGUUAAUCAACUAUGAGUGUCUAGAUGUACACAGAAUUAAAAGUUUUUUCG
rnacentral:misc_RNA from 1 species